rnacentral:sRNA from 1 species
GGAGCUUCCACAAACUUAAAACCAUGAAACAUCUAUUAUUGCUACUAUUGUGUGUUUUUCUAGUUAAAUCCCAAGGUGUCAACGACAAUGAACAGGGUCUCUUCGGUGCCCGUGGUCAUCGACCCCUUGACAAGAAGAGAGAAGAGGCUCCCAGCCUGAGGCCUGCCCCACCGCCCAUCAGUGGAGGUGGCUAUCGGGCUCGUCCAGCCAAAGCAGCUGCCACUCAAAAGAAAGUAGAAAGAAAAGCCCCUGAUGCUGGAGGCUGUCUUCACGCUGACCCAGACCUGGGGGUGUUGUGUCCUACAGGAUGUCAGUUGCAAGAGGCUUUGCUACAACAGGAAAGGCCAAUCAGAAAUAGUGUUGAUCAGUUAAAUAACGAUGUGGGAACUAUUUCCCAGACCUCCUCUUCUACCUUUCAGUACAUGUAUUUGCUGAAAGACCUGUGGCAAAAGAGGCAGAAGCAAGUAAAAGAUAAUGAAAAUGUAGUCAAUGAGUACUCCUCAGAACUGGAAAAGCACCAAUUAUAUAUAGAUGAGACUGUGAAUAGUAAUAUCCCAACUAACCUUCGUGUGCUUCGUUCAAUCCUGGAAAACCUGAGAAGCAAAAUACAAAAGUUAGAAUCUGAUGUCUCAGCUCAAAUGGAAUAUUGUCGCACCCCAUGCACUGUCAGUUGCAAUAUUCCUGUGGUGUCUGGCAAAGAAUGUGAGGAAAUUAUCAGGAAAGGAGGUGAAACAUCUGAAAUGUAUCUCAUUCAACCCGACAGUUCUGUCAAACCGUAUAGAGUAUACUGUGAUAUGAACACAGAAAAUGGAGGAUGGACAGUGAUUCAGAACCGUCAAGACGGUAGUGUUGACUUUGGUAGGAAAUGGGAUCCAUAUAAACAGGGAUUUGGAAAUGUUGCAACCAACACAGAUGGGAAGAAUUACUGUGGCCUACCAGGUUAACAACAGAUCCCAGAAAACAGUGUUCUAAAGAAGACGGUGGUGGAUGGUGGUAUAAUAGAUGUCAUGCAGCCAAUCCAAAUGGCAGAUACUACUGGGGUGGACAGUACACCUGGGACAUGGCAAAGCAUGGCACAGAUGAUGGUGUAGUAUGGAUGAAUUGGAAGGGGUCAUGGUACUCAAUGAAGAAGAUGAGUAUGAAGAUCAGGCCCUUCUUCCCACAGCAAUAGUCCCCAAAACGUAGAUUUUUCUCUUCUGUAUGUGACAACAUUUUUGUACAUUAUGUUAUUGGAAUUUUCUUUCAUACAUUAUAUUCCUCUAAAACUCUCAAGCAGAUGUGAGUGUGACUUUUUGAAAAAAGUAUAGGAUAAAUUACAU